GCCCUUGAGGCGUGGCUUCCGGAGCUAACGCGUUAAGUCGACCGCCUGGGGAGUACGGCCGCAAGGUUAAAACUCAAAUGAAUUGACGGGGGCCCGCACAAGCGGUGGAGCAUGUGGUUUAAUUCGAUGCAACGCGAAGAACCUUACCUGGUCUUGACAUCCACGGAAGUUUUCAGAGAUGAGAAUGUGCCUUCGGGAACCGUGAGACAGGUGCUGCAUGGCUGUCGUCAGCUCGUGUUGUGAAAUGUUGGGUUAAGUCCCGCAACGAGCGCAACCCUUAUCCUUUGUUGCCAGCGGUCCGGCCGGGAACUCAAAGGAGACUGCCAGUGAUAAACUGGAGGAAGGUGGGGAUGACGUCAAGUCAUCAUGGCCCUUACGACCAGGGCUACACACGUGCUACAAUGGCGCAUACAAAGAGAAGCGACCUCGCGAGAGCAAGCGGACCUCAUAAAGUGCGUCGUAGUCCGGAUUGGAGUCUGCAACUCGACUCCAUGAAGUCGGAAUCGCUAGUAAUCGUGGAUCAGAAUGCCACGGUGAAUACGUUCCCGGGCCUUGUACACACCGCCCGUCACACCAUGGGAGUGGGUUGCAAAAGAAGUAGGUAGCUUAACCUUCGGGAGGGCGCUUACCACUUUGUGAUUCAUGACUGGGGUGAAGUCGUAACAAGGUAACCGUAGGGGAACCUGCGGUUG
rnacentral:rRNA from 1 species